rnacentral:misc_RNA from 1 species
AGAAAAAAAAAGGGUAAAAAAAAAUAAAAGAAACGGGGAAAAAGAGCAACAAAAGAGAAGAACAAAAAGAACACCAUCACCGACAAGAACAAAGUGUAGCCCUCUAAAGGUUUAACUUGCUUUGAUAUAAUGAACACGACAAAAAACAGCUCAGUUCCCUUGCUUUAGUAACUAAAAGCCCCACCACAUUAUACAUCAUGUCUAGCACACCUUCCAUUUUUCUCCCUUCUUUCUUUAUUUUUCUUUUUU